rnacentral:rRNA from 1 species
GACGAACGCUGGCGGCGUGCUUAACACAUGCAAGUCGAACGAGGCCCUCGCUUCGGUGGGGUGUUCUAGUGGCGAACGGGUGAGUAACACGUGGGCAACCUGCCCCCGGCUCUGGGAUAA